AGGACGAACGCUGGCGGCGUGCUUAACACAUGCAAGUCGAGCGGAAAGGCCCUUCGGGGUACUCGAGCGGCGAACGGGUGAGUAACACGUGAGCAACCUGCCCCUGGCUCUGGGAUAGCCUCCGGAAACGGGGAUUAAUACCGGACAUGACCUGCUGCCGCAUGGUGGCGGGUGGAAAGUUUUUCGGCCAGGGUGGGGCUCGCGGCCUAUCAGCUUGUUGGGGGGGUGACGGCCCACCAAGGCGACGACGGGUAGCCGGCCUGAGAGGGCGACCGGCCACACUGGGACUGAGACACGGCCCAGACUCCUACGGGAGGCAGCAGUGGGGAAUAUUGCGCAAUGGGCGGAAGCCUGACGCAGCGACGCCGCGUGCGGGAUGAAGGCCUUCGGGUUGUAAACCGCUUUCACCAGGGGCGAAGCGAGAGUGACGGUACCGUGGGGAAGAAGCGCCGGCUAACUACGUGCCAGCAGCCGC
rnacentral:rRNA from 1 species